CGAACGCUGGCGGCGUGCUUAACACAUGCAAGUCGAACGCGAAAGGGACUUCGGUCCUGAGUAAAGUGGCGCACGGGUGAGUAACGCGUAGAUAACCUGUCUUCAUGGUACUGGAAUAAUACGCCGAAAGGGGUACUAAUACCGGAUAUUCUUGCUUUUCAUAAGUUAUGCAAGCAAAGGUGGCCUCUGCAUAUGCUACUGCAUGAAGAGGGGUCUGCGUACCAUUAGCUAGUAGGUGGGGUAAUGGCCUACCUAGGCGACGAUGGUUAGCGGGUCUGAGAGGAUGAUCCGCCACACUGGCACUGGAACACGGGCCAGACUCCUACGGGAGGCAGCAGUGAGGAAUAUUGCGCAAUGGGGGAAACCCUGACGCAGCGACGCCGCGUGAGUUGAGGAAGGCCUUCGGGUCGUAAAGCUCUGUCAAGAGGAAAGAAGUGUACAAUGGCUAAUACCUGUUGUAUUUGACGGUACCUCUAAAGGAAGCACCGGCUAACUCCGUGCCAGCCGCCGC
rnacentral:rRNA from 1 species